rnacentral:rRNA from 1 species
GACGAACGCUGGCGGCGUGCUUAACACAUGCAAGUCGAACGGUGAAGCGCCUUCCUUUUUGGUGGGUGUGGAUGAGUGGCGAACGGGUGAGUAACACGAGAGUAACCUGCCCCCUUCUUCUGGAUAACCGCAUGAAAGUGUGGCUAAUACGGGAUAUUCUGGGUCUGUCGCAUGAUGGGUCUGGGACAGCUAUUGUUUCGGUGCGGGAUGGGCGCGCGGCCGAUCAGCUUGUUGGUGGGGUGCUGGCCUACCAGGGCGGUGCCGGGUAGCCGGCCUGAGAGGGUGGAGGGCCGAGCGGGGACGGGGACACGGCGCGGACGACUACGGGAGGCAGCAGUGGGGGAGGGUGGAGGAGGGGCGCAAGCCGGAUGGGGCGGCGCCGCGUGAGGGAUGGAGGCCGUCGGGUUGUGAAGCUCUUGCGCCAGUGAAGCAGGCCGGCGGCGGUUGUGGGUGGGUGGACGGUAGGUGGAUAAGAAGCGCGGGCGAACUAGGG